AACGAACGCUGGCGGCAUGCCUAACACAUGCAAGUCGAACGAGACCUUCGGGUCUAGUGGCGCACGGGUGCGUAACGCGUCGGAACCUUCCCUUAGGUUCGGAAUAACUCCCCGAAAGGGGUGCUAAUACCGGAUAAUGUCUUCGGACCAAAGAUUUAUCGCCUUUGGAUGGGCCCGCGUUGGAUUAGCUAGUUGGUAGGGUAAAAGCCUACCAAGGCGACGAUCCAUAGCUGGUCUGAGAGGAUGAUCAGCCACACUGGGAGUGAGACACGGCGGAGACUCCUACGGGAGGAAGCAGUGGGGAAUAUUGGAAAAUGGGCGAAAGCAUGAUCCAGCAAUGCCGCGUGAGUGAUGAAGGCCUUAGGGUUGUAAAGCUCUUUUACACGGGAUGAUAAUGACAGUACCGGGAGAAUAAGCUCCGGCUAACUCCGUG
rnacentral:rRNA from 1 species